AUAAAUUUAUUACAUGCAUGGGGGCGUCGUAGAAAAGUGAGUACCUAAUAUCCAGUAAAACUUAGAAACUUGUAUACCUCUUCCUAGGGGAGAGGGACAGGAGCAAUGUGGGUAAUUUUAGGAAAGUGUAAGUGGCUUGUAAGGGAGGUGCAUGGGUCUGAAGAACCGAUAGUAGUAGCCUGGGAUAAAGUUUGCUUGGUCUUUGGUGUGGCUUGAACUCUUGUCUUUCCGCUGCCUGUGGUGGUCUCCCCUGGUUGGCGAGCUAUUGGGAGCAGGGAUCAGAACACUUGUAUGUCUUCUGGGGGACCUGACUUUUAAGGUAGGUGGGACAUCUUCACACCAAGUGCUUCCUUUCUGCUCUCCAGGAGCUGUCAGUGGAGGGGGGGCAAAGCAUCAUGCUUUGAAGUAUCCUUGCCGGAACCCUGACCCUAUCAUCAGAAUCAACAAAGUUGGUCACAAUUUCUGUUAUUAUUCCUUCUCCUCUACCAUGCCAGUUCUGCGUGUCUUUAUUUUCCAUAGAUUAAUCCAUAGGUGCCGACUACAUUCAGGCAGGUUAGGAACACUGGGACCGGAGCCUCUCCUGAGGGCACACAGCCCGCCACCCCCACCCUGCUGUGCUCACUCACUCAUUAAAUGCUGUGCUUUGGUUUGCUCAGUGAUUCUAGGAUGUUUUUUGAGCACUAAGGCCAGGAACUACACCAGGAAACUGAGGUUGUACCGGAAAUCAUACCAUCGUUGUUGCAGAUCUUGUAUUUUGUCCCAGCAAUGACAGAAAAGUAACCAAGACAAUCACCUUAUCACCAAAACAUUCUGUUUACCUACCCAUUAACUGUCUGAAAAUUUCUCUUUAACUAGGCUCAGUGUACUUUUUAGGCUACCAGAAUUAUCCUCAUUAGACUAAUCCGUGGAGAUUCAGACUCCCCUUUCUAGAACACCAAUUGUCAAUUACUACUUUUCACUGUGUCCUCCUCCUACCGUGUUUAUGCUACCUCACUGGUCUUUUAAAAUUCUGACACUGAUUUUGCCCUCACCCAGAGCGUCUGCAUCAACUUUCUAUAAAUCACUUCAUGCUACUUUUCAAACGCUGAUCUCCUGAUUUUGGAAUAAGGUUUGGGCUCUAGGAAAAAGUAUAGUGAGC
rnacentral:lncRNA from 1 species